UUCUUUCUUUUUUUUUUUUCUUUUUGAAGGGGGUUAGUUGGUUGUUGUUGCUGUUUGUGUUCUUUAUUUACUUAGGACUUGAUUUCCUCUUUCCAAGAUAAUAGCACUGAAUAUUGACCAGGCAUUUCUGGUCAUGUCCUACAUAACCUAUACAAAAUCAGAACAACAAUGCCAUCAUCUGGCUCAGGUCACACUCCUAUAAUCUCAGUGACUUGGGAAGCUGAGUCACAAGUUUCACAAGUUCAAGGCCAGCCUUAUCAACUUAGUGAACUCUGUCUCAAAAUGAAAAAUAAAAAAGCACUGGGUAUAUAGCUCAGUGGUGUGGUGUACCAGAUUCAAUCCAAAAACAAAGCCUAUCAAAAUUUGAUGGGCUGUUUUUAUUUAUUGAUUUUUAAAUAAAUUGUUUUUACGUAAAAGUUACAUACAUGCUUAUUCAAAGAACUUGAAAAAAUAGCCAGACACAGUGGCACGCACCCAUAAUCCCAGUGACACAGGAAGAUUGCAAGUUCAAGGCCAGCCUCAGUAACUGAGCUAGCGAGACCUGUCUCAAAAAAUAAAGUCCCCAGUACCCUCCUUUAAAAAAAAAGAAAAAUACAAAAAAAAAAAAAAAUAGAAAACUACUGCAGUCUGGCUGGGCACAAUUCAGGAGCCACUUGUCAAGCAGAAAUGAACUUUAUUUUUAGAACGCACACACCACACCAAACUAGCUCUUCAGGAAUUCCCUCAGAGCCCAACUGCCACCACCCGCUUCCAGCGAGCCACUCAACCCCCACUCCUCCCACUCUUGAGGCCGAUUGGCUGGGUCACAUGGGCGGAGCCAAAAGAGGCCCCCAAUGAGCAGCUCCGUGGUCUGAAAGGGCAGGGAAACAGCCCAGUGAGCAUCACUCAGAGGAGCAAAUCAGCUGGCAGCUGGAAGUUUGCUGGGGCUGCUGUGAGCCAAUCAGCUGGAAGUUUGCUGGGGCCACUUCGGCUGUGGCUCUCAACAGAAAACUGAUAAUUAUUUUCAUUCAUUCUUAGCAUUUUUUGUAUUACUAGUGCUUAUCGGGUUGUUUUUUUCAAGGAUCAGUUACAAGCCAACAUUAGGGACAGUUGACUAUAGGAGUAUCUGUCUUCAAAUUCUAAUUUUAUUUCUAAAUUUUUCUAGUGGUCUUAACUAUAUUAAACCAGUAUCAUCUUGAGUUUCUGGUCUUAUAGGAAAGGUGUUUUUUAGAAU
rnacentral:lncRNA from 1 species